UGAACGCUGGCGGCAGGCUUAACACAUGCAAGUCGAGCGGUAACAGACAGAGCUUGCUCUGUGCUGACGAGCGGCGGACGGGUGAGUAACGCGUAGGAAUCUGCCCAGUAGUGGGGGAUAGCCCGGGGAAACCCGGAUUAAUACCGCAUACGCCCUACGGGGGAAAGGCCGGGAUCUUCGGACCGGUCACUAUUGGAUGAGCCUGCGUCGGAUUAGCUAGUUGGUGGGGUAAAGGCCUACCAAGGCGACGAUCCGUAGCUGGUCUGAGAGGAUGAUCAGCCACACCGGGACUGAGACACGGCCCGGACUCCUACGGGAGGCAGCAGUGGGGAAUAUUGGACAAUGGGGGCAACCCUGAUCCAGCCAUGCCGCGUGUGUGAAGAAGGCUUUCGGGUUGUAAAGCACUUUCAGUGAGGAGGAAAUGAUUGGGGUUAAUAGCCUCGGUUUUUGACGUUACUCACAGAAGAAGCACCGGCUAACUCCGUGCCAGCAGCCGCGGUAAU
rnacentral:rRNA from 1 species